UGUAGCAUAUCAAUAAGCGGAGGAAAAGAAACUAACAAGGAUUCCCCUAGUAACUGCGAGUGAAGCGGGAAAAGCUCAAAUUUAAAAUCUGGCGGUCUUGGCCGUCCGAGUUGUAAUUUAGAGAAGCGUCUUCCGCGCCGGACCGUGCACAAGUCUCCUGGAAUGGAGCGUCAUAGAGGGUGAGAAUCCCGUCUUUGGCACGGAUGCCUGUGCUUCUGUGAUGCGCUCUCAAAGAGUCGAGUUGUUUGGGAAUGCAGCUCAAAAUGGGUGGUGAACUCCAUCUAAAGCUAAAUAUUGGCGAGAGACCGAUAGCGAACAAGUACCGUGAGGGAAAGAUGAAAAGCACUUUGGAAAGAGAGUGAAACAGUACGUGAAAUUGUUGAAAGGGAAACGCUUGAAGUCAGUCGCGUCGACCGAGACUCAGCCUUGCCUUGGCUUGGUGUACUUCUCGGCCCGACGGGUCAGCGUCAAUUUUGCCCCUCGGAUAAUGGCAAGGGAAAGGUGGCACCUUUGCGGGUGUGUUAUAGUCUCCUGUCGCAUGCGAGGGGUGGGAUUGAGGAACUCAGCGUGCACCUUGGUGUCGGGGCUUCGGCCCACGUCACGCGCUUAGGAUGCUGGCGUAAUGGCUUUAAACGACCCGUCUUGAAACACGGACCAAGGAGUCCAACACGCCCGCGAGUGUUCGGGUGGAAAACCCGUGCGCGCAAUGAAAGUGAAAGUUGGGACCUCUGUCGUGGAGGGCACCGACGCCCGGACCAGACCUUCUGUGACGGAUCUGCGGUAGAGCGUGUGUGUUGGGACCCGAAAGAUGGUGAACUAUGCCUGAAUAGGGUGAAGCCAGAGGAAACUCUGGUGGAGCUCGUAGCGAUUCUGACGUGCAAAUCGAUCGUCAAAUUUGGGUAUAGGGGCGAAAGACUAAUCGAACCAUCUAGUAGCUGGUUCCUGCGAUCUU
rnacentral:rRNA from 1 species